UAAUCUUUAGUAUAAAAAAUACAGUAUUUUUAGAAAAUACAAAUUUUAGAUUAA
rnacentral:tRNA from 1 species